AUUGAACGCUGGCGGCAGGCCUAACACAUACAAGUCGAACGAGUGGCGGACGGGUGAGUAAUGUCUGGGAAACUGCCUGAUGGAGGGGGAUAAAUCCUGGGAAAGGUAGCUAAUACCGCAUACCAUCAGAUGUGCCCCGAUGGGUUUAGCUUGUUGGUGGGGUAAUGGCUCACCAAGGCGACGAUCCCUAGUUGGUCUGAGAGGAUGACGAGCCACAUUGGAACUGAGACACGGUCCAGACUCCUACGGUAGGCAGCAGUGGGGAAUAUUGCGCAAUGGGCGCAAGCCUGAUGCAGCCAUGCCGCGUGUAUGAAGAGGGCCUUCGGGUUGUAAAGUACGUUCAGCGGGGAGGCGUUACCCGCAGAAGAAGCACCGGCUAACUCCGUGCCAGCAGCCGCGGUAAUUC
rnacentral:rRNA from 1 species